GCACCUGUGGCCGAGUGGUUAAGGCGCGGCCCUGCUAAGGCCGUGGGGUCUCCCCGCGUGCGUUCAAUGGUUACCUCCCAAUGGAAAGUUGCG
rnacentral:tRNA from 1 species